rnacentral:tRNA from 1 species
GCCGGUAUCGUUCAAUGGUAGGACAGCAGUUUUGUAAUCUGCUUAUCGGGGUUCAAAUCCUCGUACCGGCU